rnacentral:rRNA from 1 species
UUCCAGCUCCAAUAGCGUAUAUUAAAGUUGUUGCGGUUAAAAAGCUCGUAGUUGAAUUUGUGUUCCGCACUGUCGGUUCACCGCCCGCGGUGCUAACUGGCAUGUUUGCGGAACGUCCUGCCGGUGGAUGUUGGCUGUAAGUGAUUUCGGUCAUUUACAACACAUCCGACUUAUAAAUCCUGUCGCGGUGCUCUUAAUUGAGUGUCGAGGCGGGCCGGCACGUUUACUUUGAACAAAUUAAAGUGCUCAAAGCAGGCUAACUAAUGCCUGAAUAAUUAGUGCAUGGAAUAAUGGAACAGGACCUUGGUUCUAUUUUGUUGGUUUUCGGAACCCCAAGGUAAUGAUUAAUAGGGACAGAUGG